rnacentral:lncRNA from 1 species
GGCAUAUUUCCCUGCGCGGAGGAGUGCGUGUUCUUUCUGAUCCGCUCUUUCAAGAGCGGAUUCGGAAGCUGCUGUGUGAACGGUUCUCGACAGCCUCAGAAAUGUACAUUUUCUUUUUGCUGUAUUGAAAAUUUCUUACAGUAUUUCCCGGGCUUAGGAAUUUGUUCGUGUCAUCGCUGAAUCUUCGCGAUCACCCCCAGAAGGAAGUGGCUGAGCCGAGAUCAGGCCCGUCGACUCCAGACCAGGGGUCCUCGACCUAAGUGGUUACCAGACACUCGAGUGUGCGAACAACUUUGGUAAUUUUUUUUUUUUAAUGUAAGCGUAACUACGAAGCCACAUGGGAGAGGAUUUUGAAGAGGUUAAAAUUUGGGGUCAGGAACUAGAUUUCAGUCCUGCUUUCACCGUUUACUGUGCCUUGGAUUUUAAAGAGGAUCAAAUGAGGUUGUGAAAGUACUUUGUGAAUUCAGAAAACCCCUUGGAAAUGCAAAAAUGUUGGCACCCCCACCCAUCCUUCCGUCCCUAACCACAAUCUCCAUAGAUGGAAUAUAUGUACAUUAUACGUAAUGUUUACAUAUUGUAUAUGUAAAAAAAA